AGUAUCAAGAAUAUGCAUAUCCUUGCUUCAGGUCCUUAGCUAUGUCAUUUUAGGCGGAAUUUGAAAAAAAGGCACCGAUCCUUAAGAGGUUUUUAAUGUAAUCUCAACUGCAAUCCAGGUAAUUUGGUUCUGCAAUAACAAUGUUUCCCGACUCUGGUCCUCAAGUACCCCCAAUGCCUGAUUCAGCUUGUCAAAGGCUUGAUGAUUAGUUGGCAAGUUGAAUCAGGUGUGCUUGUCAGGGGCCCCAACAACAAUAUGUACUGUUGGGGGUACUCAAGGACCGGAGCUGGGAAACACUGUGCUAUAAAAUGAAGCACAGUGAUAACACAUUCAUCUGUAUAAAUAAACAAAAUAUCUGAAGUGAUAUUCCCAUUAGAAUUUUGCUGUGCUUUUAAAUGGUUGAAAGUGUAGUAAGACAUUUGGGUGACAACUAAACCAAAUAUUUGACAUUGUUUUUCCAUUGGAAUUUGGUUUAGAUGGUUAAAAGAAUAGUGAUACCACAUCAGAAAUUCUACUGACUUUUGGCUGUCUUUUAGAGUGGGUGAAUAUAGGUUAUAAUCUCAAUGAUCAACUUCUCAACCAAAUAUUACCAAAUUAUCCACGUUGAAAUGACGUGGUGUGCCCAGUGGGAUUGUUGUGCAAGAACAACAGUAGUUGGUCCCGUUUUUGAAAAUGAAUCUUUGUGGAAGGAUUAUUCAAAUCCUCUCUGCCCCUGCUCCCUCAUACACAUACAGCAUAUAAUCAUGUGGAUAAGAGAUUCAGUGAAACCAGGACAAUAUCAAAUUCCCCAAAAGCUCUAAGCUUGUAGACAUAACCUUUAUAACAAAGAGACUUAGAAUUACAAGAUGGCCGUCUUAAAAUGCUUUGGAAUAAUGCAAAAAAUCUCUCUUUUAUGCAAUGUGUUGUGUAACGCAAUAGUCAAGGGGUACUGUGAGAGACAAAGAGCAAAGUACUGUAUGUAUCACAAAACAUCCCUUGCACCUUAUGGGAACAUAGGCCUUUGCACUUUGGCGCCAUGUUUGUACAAGGAAAUUGGUUUGAAUGUAAACAAGAGUCUAUGCAAAGAGAUCUAGUCAUUGAUAGCCCUAUACACAAGCCAAACAGUUUUUUGAGGUGUGCAAGGGACUAUGGGGUCAUUCAUCAGAGACACUAGUGUAUGACAGCCCUCAUACUCAUAAUCAUUUUUACAGAUUGGAGAUUGGAACGUCUCUCUAUAGUGCCUGGAUGCAGGUUGGGGCGUGAGAUAUGAGAAUACCAGGUGAGGUGCAUAGCUCAUGUGCAGCUGCGCAAUGUGUGUGGCGCCACCAAAGGACUAGGAUCGUGGGAUCGUGGCAUAUCUCAAGUCAUAAUUCAACUUCGGAUGAUAUGGCUUGUAUAACAUUUGACAAUGACGUAUUAAUAGAAGAUUUUAUUUGUGAGAAGCAAAUGACAUUGCUCUCUCACUCUAUCUCUCUCUCUCUCUAUAUAUAUAUAUAUCUCUAUCUCACACGCACAUGUAGAUGCAGUCUCUUACACUCUUUUGUGGUUUGGCUGUCUGUCUGCUUAUGGAGACUUUUGGGGAAGUAGGUUUAUAUUUUUCACAGGAACAUAAGCAUGUGAUUAAAUAAAGCAUCUGACAGAUAGGACCUUUACUUUCUCAUAAAGUGAAAAGUUCAGAAGGUGAAAAGGUCAGGCAACCAUGACUUCAGCAGCCCUGCAUUAUACAUAGAUCUAUGAGGAACAAGGAAGGCUACCCUUGAGUGAAACUGAAAAUGUUUCAUGUGGGAGCUUAUUGUACUAUUAAGUAUUCCAAAUACAUAAUAAUAACAAACAAAAAAUUACAAAUAAUUUCAUCCAACUGAUGUACAAAAUAUUGGAACAUACGAUACAUUCACGUGACAAAUUCUGCAUAAAGUGAUAGAUGAUAACAUCAUUCCUUUGAGACAGCCUGCACAUCUGGACAAUGCCUUGACCUGCUGUACAAGUUCAAAUUGUACUCAGUUACUAUAAACAGGAAAAAGAGUGCAGACAAUAUUGAACUGUUCAUUGAAUUCACUCAGAGCUCACGGUCACCGGUCAUGUGUAAUGGGUAUAGGGCCCUGAGCUGUUCCAGAUCACAUAGUCAGGGAAAACUCAGGGCCUCGUGGGAAGAAGAAGGAAGAGGGAGAGUUUCAAGGAAGAAAAUGCGUUACUGCAUUUAUUGGUUGAGUUUUGAUUGCAAUUCAACUUUAUUGAGUUAGAAAUGCACCUGAGGCUCGAACAAUGGUUGCAUCAUCCAAAAUGUUGUCAAACUUUAGCUUUGGCAGCAAACAUGGUAAGGGUUGACUUCCUAUUUGACAGCCAAUAAAUAGACGCAAUUGAUGUCUAUAACAUGGUAAUAUACAUGUAUUUAGUUUUAUGACGCAUAGAGACAGUUUACUUUUAUAUUUGUGUAACCAGUGUCUGCCGCUAAGUGUAUGGCCACUCAUCACAUGAUCUGCAAAAUGUCCCUCUGUACAUUGUAUCACAGUGUUAAGAUUCCACUCUGUAAACAAUUCACAGACAUGUUCUUAUGUAAUCGUUUACAUGUACUAUACCUUCCACCCACAGACCUAACUUUUUCUAGUGACCGUAUAUAUAACACUAACUGCACACACCAGCCGGUUGCUUACUGUGUGAUGUGUAUACAUUAAAAGGAGAAAUUCCACCGGAGGGUAAAUGUGUAAAAAAUAAUAAAAAUUCAAAAAAAGAGGCGCAUGCUAUGGUCACUUUGAGGUCAUUCUGUUUCAGAAAUUACCACGGUUAUGUGAGCUAUAUGGAUCACUCCAAUAUAUUGAUAUCACUCCGCGGCGGAGGGAUACAUCCGAGGUGAGGAUUUACAGGUUUUCUCCUGGGUACACCUGUGGUCCACCCCUAUAUAUAGACCCCAUGGCGCCUCUAGCACCAUAGAGGAUUGGAGUGAUCCAUAUAGCUCACAUAACCGUGGUUACAUACGUAACCUUCGUUAUGUUUCUCUAUAUUGGAUCACUUCAAUAUAUUGGUAUACCCGUACCAGAUUUAGUCGGUGCUAGAGGGACCUGGCCAGCCAGUGGCGAAGUCCCAACGCGGGACCGAGACGCAGGGGCCGUCAAUGUGGAAGGGGGGUCCUGGCACAGUCCCCGGAAGGGGAGACGAUGCCCAGGACCGCUGAACCAACCACAGAGGGAGGUGCCACAUUUACCCGAUAGUACCUAGCAAAGGAGCAAGAGGAAGCCCAGCUGGCCCCAGUACAAAUAUCAGAGAGGGGCACUCCUCUCAGUAGAGCCCAGGAUGCAGCCACACCUCAUGUUGAAUGUGCCACCACAAAUCCCAGCACUGGCCUGCCAGCCAGGCGGUAUGGUGUCGUAAUUGUGUCCACAAUCCAGUGAGAGAGCCUCUGCAUUGAUAGCCCAGCCCACAGGACACACCAUAGCAGACAAAGAGCUGUUCUGUUGUUCUCACUGACCGUGUCCGCUCCACAUAGGCAGCCAGUGCACGCACAUGGCAUAGCAUGCCGGAGGGAGGCAUAGACUCCCCGCCACUUCCCGGGGGGUCAUAAGCAGACAGGAUAAAAGGGAUGUUCACAUGCCUGUCUGACAGAACCUUUGGGGGGAAUGAAGGUUUGGGGCGGAGAGAUAUACUCCUCCCACCAGGGUCCAUCCGGUAGCACUCAGAACUUACCGAAAGAGCAUGGAGCUCACCGACCCUCUUCUUGGAAGUAAUCGCUACCAAGAAAGCCACAGAGGUCCUGGUGGCUAUGACAUGGAGUACCACAGGGGGCAGUGUGCAUCGUACAGGGAGGCAAACAGGUCCACCUGCGCCCUCCCGAACAUGUCCCACAGGUGUUGCACCACCUGGGGAUGUAGGCUCCAGUCCCAAGGUGGCGGGCCCUCCCUCAAGAGCGUAUCCACUGCCACAUUCAGGAUGCCAGGUAUGUGCGCUGCGUGUCGAGACGCUAGAGGUCCCUGAGCCCAGACAAGGAGCUCCCAUACCAUAAGAUGGAGACAGUAGGACCUCAGUCCACCCUGAUGGUUGAUGUAAGCCACCACUGUGGUGUUUUCCAUUGUCACCAGGACUUCAGAUGUGGAAUGAAAGACCGCAGGGCCAGCAGUACAGCUCAGAGCUCUAGUGUAUUGAUGUGCCUGCCACUCCAAGGAGGUAGCCAACAGCCGCUGGCCGACCUGCCCUUGGUCACAACCCCCAGCCGAUCUA
rnacentral:lncRNA from 1 species